rnacentral:rRNA from 1 species
UACGUAGGUGGCAAGCGUUGUCCGGAUUUACUGGGCGUAAAGAGCGCGCAGGCGGUCGUUCAAGUCGCGUGUGAAAGCCCCCGGCUCAACUGGGGAGGGUCACGCGAUACUGAUCGACUCGAAGGCAGGAGAGGGAAGUGGAAUUCCCGGUGUAGUGGUGAAAUGCGUAGAUAUCGGGAGGAACACCAGUGGCGAAGGCGGCGUUCUGGACUGCAACUGACACUGAGAAACGAAAGCCAGGGGAGCAAACGGG